rnacentral:tRNA from 2 species
CGAGGCUAUGAUCCAGUUCGCAAUGAUCCGGCUGAUUUCGGCUCGGCUGGCCGGCGAGCAACUCCCCGAAUCUCGC